rnacentral:rRNA from 1 species
AUGGAUGUAAACCUCAAUAUUAUGUUUUGGAAUGUCCGCGGACUCAAUAGUCGGGCCAAACGUUCUGCUGUUCGCACUGUGAUCACCUCUGCGUCACCUUCCAUAGUGUGUUUACAAGAGACCAAGCUCUCGAUGGUUUCGUCGACUCUCAUCCUCGAGACUCUUGGUGGCUCUUUUGAUGGAUUCUACUUCCUCCCGGCGACUGCUACCCGGGGUGACAUCAUUCUUGCCUGGCAAAGUUGCCAAAUCUCCCUCUCCAACCCUAUGAUUGGUGACCACCAUGUGUCCGCGGUUGCUUCUUCGUCCUUGGGCGGGCAUCAUUGGUGGGUGACUGGCGUAUACGGCCCCCAGGGAGACGACGCGAAGCUGGUUUUCCUCUCUGAGCUCCACGACCUCCACUCAAGCAUCUCUGGCCCCUAG